AUCGUCUUUUUUUUUUCAUCAAAAAAUAAAUAAAUCAAAAGAUCUUCUUAUGCCCAUAAUAUUUCAAUUUCUCCAUGUGUAAAAUAUUUCAACCAAAGAAGAUCUCUUUAUCAUCCACUGGAUAUUGAAAAGACGACUUUGAAUAUGGUCAAAUCGAAGUUGAUUCUACGAACCAAAUACCGAUAAAUAGACAUUUUCUGUAUCCAACUGCACAAAUCAUUUUAAGGUUCAUCGAAACUUUUUCGGAGAUGAAAUACCACCUAAAGCAAGGGAGAAGGGACACAGGUUGGUUUUCUCUGUCGAGGGAGUUUGCGCAAGGUCAGAUUCGUUUGCCAGAUAUAUAUAAGGUCGGGUGAAAGGUUUAUUCGCGUUUAUGUACUGUUGGUCUCACUACAAGCUACUUUUGGAUCCUUAAUACCAAUAUUUGAGCUUGGAUGAAGUAUAAAAGUUCAGUAUUUUUUUCCAGGGACCUACUAUAUAUUCAGUUCAUACAAUUCUCAAUAAGUUUUAAGGUCAGUUUUGUAUAACACCACAGAGGUUGGAGAAAAUGUAAAUUAUCAAUUAUGUGAAUGCUUUGACAAAAGGUCUACAGAUGUUGACAUGAACAAGGAGGUUGUAGAAUUGUGAACAAUUGGAACUCUUGCUUUUGCAAAUAAUUUUUUCUGUUUGAUCGUUGGCAUGUUGAUCUCGAUGAAAGAUUUUCCUAACAACAAUCCACUUAUACAGAUAUCGGAAAUCAUUCUAGGCAAAAUUGAAAAAGCGUGAAUGGAACCGCGACAUGUUGGAUUUUGGGAACAUGAAUACCAACAUAUGCAUCACCUCUUAUAUUCUUUUUCUCCAUGUAUACAAUUUUAGAACUUCUGUUCCAAAGUUUCAAAGAACUUUGUAACGGUAUUGGAAAAGUAUGGGGUAGUAGUC